ACAAUGUAAAUGGAGAAGGCUAAAACUUGGUCAGCGGCAGAUGAAAAUGCCGACACGAAGUCUUCGGGUGAAAGGGGUUGUCCAUGGUGCUGUCAUUAAAGGUAUUUUACUUACCCUGUUCGUAAUGAGUACGGUUGCAUUUUGGCUUCUGCGCAGAUGGAUGAAGCCAGCGGGGAACGCAUGCGGCAUACAGACACCACCCGCUACAGACCUACCACAGAUCUUACUUGCAGUGCUUCUUUUUUUUAGAUGUUGGAAGACCUAACUAUCAGUGUCUGAAGACUGCUUAUUAAACACACAAGUAGCCAACUGAGCCCAGCACUGAUUGGGUGUCCUCUGCACAGUGAAUAAGCAAGAUCAAUCACCAUGGAAACCGAAGCAGAGGUUAUUCCUAUUUGACAGAACAAGCCUCAUGGAUCGACUCGAUGUGUGGUGAGGAGAAUAGGCUCCCUUGUGCCCAUGAAACCCCAUCUCAGGGCAUGUUUCCAGGAACUUCUAGGCCUCCCUCUGCUGCGGCCCAUGGAUGGCCCCAUGGUGCCCACACUGGCAGACAUUGCCUGGAUCGCAGCAGAUGAGGAGUCUGAGACCUAUGCCAGAGUGCGGUAAGAACGUGCUUCUCUCACCCACAGUGCAGAAUAACGGUCUGCUAAUCUCGAGGAUAGUCCUUUAGAGGGGCAGCAAAAAUUGUCGGCAGCUAUCGUUGGGGUCUAAAUGAUUGGCUUGUAAAUGUUUUGUUUAUUUAUUAUAAACCUUUAUUUAACUAGGCAGGUCAGUUAAGAAAAAAAAUCUUAUUUACAAUGACGGCCUACCAAAAGGCAAAAGGCCGCCUGCGGGGACGGGGG